GACGAAGGGGGCUAGCGUUGUUCGGAAUUACUGGGCGUAAAGCGCGUGUAGGCGGCUGUCCAAGUUGGAUGUGAAAGCCUUGAGCUUAACUGCAGAACUGCCGUGGAUACUCUCUAUCUUGAAUAUCGUGGAGGUUAGCGGAAUAUGUCAUGUAGCGGUGAAAUGCUUAGAUAUGACAUAGAACGCCCAUUGCGAAGGCAGCUAACUACGCGAUCAUUGACGCUGAUGCACGAAAGCGUGGGGAUCAAACAGG
rnacentral:rRNA from 1 species